UGAUGUUAAGAGAUGAGGCUACAUCUUCGGUGUUCGAGGCUCUUCAAGAAGCAUGUGGCACAACUGCACAGGUAGCCAAGAUCAAGCAUUUGGAUUCCUACAUUGAUAAUUAUAGUUCCCAGAAAUGUUAAUAUAUUUGCUCUCGGAUCUACCCUACAACAAAAACGAGCAUUGUCAAAUUGCUACACCCAUAUCAUCAUUCACAACAGAUUACUGUAGCCUGGAACUCCUGGGCUCAAGGGAUUCUCCUGCUUCAGCCUCUCAAGUAGCUGGGACUACAGGCCUUCUGACAAGCAAAUGAAGCUCACUGGCAGUAGUGAUCCGGAGGCAAAUUGGACAAUUCGUGACUGAGUUACAAAAGAAGAUACCUUACAAAGAUUAUAGUGUGACAUGAUGCUUGUCUGAAGCUUUGACUUUCCUAUCAAAAUAAUAAAUAGAAAAUAAUGGAAAUUUCAAUAAUUCACUUGUAUUUCUGAUGGUGAGAUUCACCAAACUCCCUAAAACCACACUCAACCAUUUUUAUUGAGAAACAUCAGUUUUCUGUCAGAUAACUUAUGAAUAUAACUUCUUUCUUUUUUCAGAU
rnacentral:lncRNA from 1 species